rfam:Pantoea sp. AS1 12__len__204505, whole genome shotgun sequence.
GUGAACCAUUGUGAUGUGGUUAUUUCAAUCGGUAACAGAUUGAUUGAACAGGGCGAUAGCGUUAUCGCCCUUUAUUUUUA